ACCAUGAGUGACACCUAGCAGCAUAUCAUGGUUACCCAAGCUAAUCAGAAGAGGUGGAGAACCUAUUCAGUUUGGGAUUACAAAUGCAAUACGGUCUUUCUCUAAUCUAAUACUCUUGACCACAUUGUUUGGUUUGAUAGUUUAUUUUUCAUGUCUACUAUCCAAUGUGAUUCGUGUGCUUAUAUGAUUACCUUGAAUGUGAUUUGGAACGCAUUCCC
rnacentral:lncRNA from 1 species